CUCUUUCUCUCCCCCCCCUCUCUCUCUCUCUCUCUCUCUCUCUCUCUCUCUCUCUUUCUCUCUUUAACUCCUCCUACGAGGUUGGUGAGUCGGUGCGUUCGCGGGUGCAGUGUCUCCUUGAAAAUCGAUACGACACCGGCGUCCGUGCAGUCUGCGCCGACGACGAAGAUAGCCGAGUCGGUGAACGAGAAACCACGUGGCGACAGAAACGUCAGAUCGCGAAGGGCUCGCCACCUCGUGCUUCGAGCCCUCGACGAUCAAUGAUGUUGAAUAUCGACCGAUGGAUGGUUAGGAGAGACAGAGAAAGAAAGGUGAUGUCUGACAAUAAAACAGAGAGAGAGAGAAGUAGAUAUAUAUAUAUAUAUAUAUAUAUAUAUAUAUAUAUAUAUAUAUAGAGAGAGAGAGAGGAAGAUAGAGAGAAAUAACUACUAGACUUCAUUUCGUUCAUUAAUUCUGCCUGUCUCCAUAUUGGACAUAUCUUGAUUCAAUCAGAAUGAAUAAAAUGAUACUCAGACGAUAAGAAUAUAAAUGUCCAACGAUUGUCCAAAUAUAUUCAGUUUAUCUAGAAAGUUUCUAGGAGAGAACAUCGACGAUUGCAACAUCAUAGAAGAGAGAUAAAUAUCUUUCGUAUCUCGGCAGAAAUUUCUAUGUGAUUUUUAUUGUAACUAUCUCUUGCAAGUAGAUCGUAACAAGUAUGAAUGUAGGUAUAUAUUUAUAUAUGUGUUGAUGUAGAAUAUCGAAGGAAACCGACGACAGAACGGAGAAGUUUGUCGCGUUCGACCUGAAAACCCAAAGGCCCGCGUAGCCUCGACCUUGUCAACCAAAUAAGGACCUAUUCAAGGUCUUCGGAGCCUUGCGUAAGGCCCCCUUUUAUACCGUGCGAGCCAACGUUGGCAUAACGAUCAAGUCGAUUCUAUUAGAGAAAAUCAAAAAUAAGUAAGAAAAUA